rnacentral:tRNA from 1 species
GGCGUUAUAGCUCAGAGGGAGAGCACUUGCCUACCAUGCAUGAGGCACUAGGUUCGAUCCUCAGCACCA